GGGGGAAAAUACAUCGGAACGUGUCCUGCUAGCGGGGGAUAGCCCGGCGAAAGCCGGAUUAAUACCGCAUACGAUCUGCGGAUGAAAGCGGGGGCUCCUUCGGGACCUCGCGCUACAGGGGCGGCCGAUGGCAGAUUAGCCAGUUGGUGGGGUAAAGGCCUACCAAGGCGACGAUCUGUAGCUGGUCUGAGAGGACGACCAGCCACACUGGGACUGAGACACGGCCCAGACUCCUACGGGAGGCAGCAGUGGGGAAUUUUGGACAAUGGGCGCAAGCCUGAUCCAGCAAUGCCGCGUGUGUGAAGAAGGCCUUCGGGUUGUAAAGCACUUUUGUCCGGAAAGAAAACCUUCGCCCUAAUACGGUGGGGGGAUGACGGUACCGGAAGAAUAAGCACCGGCUAACUACGUGCCAGCAGCCGCGGUAAUACGUAGGGUGCAAGCGUUAAUCGGAAUUACUGGGCGUAAAGCGUGCGCAGGCGGUUCGCUAAGACAGAUGUGAAAUCCCCGGGCUUAACCUGGGAACUGCAUUUGUGACUGGCGGGCUAGAGUAUGGCAGAGGGGGGUAGAAUUCCACGCGUAGCACUGAAAUGCGUAGAGAUGUGGAGGAAUACCGAUGGCGAAGGCAGCCCCCUGGGCCAAUAC
rnacentral:rRNA from 1 species